CAUCGCCUCUUGCUAAACUAUAAGAGGUCCCGCCUGCCCUGUGACAAUGUUCAACGGCCGCGGUAUUUUGACCGUGCAAAGGUAGCGUAAUCACUUGUCUUUUAAAUGAAGACCCGUAUGAAAGGCACCACGAGAGUUUAACUGUCUCUAUUUUCUAAUCAAUGAAAUUGAUCUAUUCGUGCAGAAGCGAAUAUAAUAACAUUAGACGAGAAGACCCUAUGGAGCUUCAAACACUUAGACUAAUUAUGUAAAAAUUUUUACCCUUAGGGCAUAAACAAAAAUACAAUACUUCUAGUUUAACUGUUUUUGGUUGGGGUGACCAAGGGGUAAAAUAAAACCCCCUUAUCGACCGAACACUUAGUGUUUGAAAAUUAGAAUGACAAUUCUAACUAAUAAAAUAUUUAUCGAAAAAUGACCCAGGAUUUCCUGAUCAAUGAACCAAGUUACCCUAGGGAUAACAGCGCAAUCCUUUCCCAGAGUUCCUAUCGACGAAGGGGUUUACGACCUCGAUGUUGGAUCAGGACAUCCUAAUGGUGCAGCCGCUAUUAAGGGUUCGUUUGUUCAACGAUUAAUAGUCCUACG
rnacentral:rRNA from 1 species